rnacentral:snoRNA from 1 species
GCCUCCUUUCUCACUUCGCCCAUUGAACUUAAGUCUUUCAACUUGGGCAAAAGUGUGUCCUUUUAAAAUGCAAGCAAACUGGUAUUUUUCUUAUAUCCUGCCUGUCACAGGAAACAACA